UACGUAGGGUGCAAGCGUUGUCCGGAAUUAUUGGGCGUAAAGAGCUCGUAGGCGGUCUGUCGCGUCUGCUGUGAAAACUCGGGGCUUAACCCCGGGCCUGCAGUGGGUACGGGCAGACUAGAGUGCGGUAGGGGAGACUGGAAUUCCUGGUGUAGCGGUGAAAUGCGCAGAUAUCAGGAGGAACACCGGUGGCGAAGGCGGGUCUCUGGGCCGUAACUGGACGCUGAGGAGCGAAAGCAUGGGUAGCGAACAGG
rnacentral:rRNA from 1 species